rnacentral:lncRNA from 1 species
AAAUGAACGAAAUCUAUUCAUCUCUUUUGCUACCCCUACAAUUCUAGGCCUACCAGCAGUAGUAUUAAUCAUUCUGUUUCCCACUGUUUCCAACCUCUAGUCAUCAAAUUAGUAACCGAUUAUUUUCUAUUCAACGAUGAUUAAUCCAACCUGCACUAAAACAGAUAAUAAUUACCCAUAACAUUAAAGGACAAACCUGAUCCCUUAUAAUAAUAUCCCUAAUUAUCUUCACUGCCUCAACCAACCUCCUUGGGCUUCUACCCCAUUCAUUUACACCAACUAUCCAAUUAUCAAUAAACCUGGGUAUAGCAAUCCCCCUGUGAGCAGGCGCAGUAAUUACAGUCUUCUGCUUUAAAACGAAAAACUCCUUGGCUGGCUUUUUACCACAAGGCACACCUAUGCCACUUAUCCCUAUACUAGUAAUCAUUGAAACCAUUAGCCUAUUUAUUCAACCAAUAGCAUUAGCUGUGCAAUUAACAGCCAACAUUAUAGUCAGUCAUCUACUAAUACAUUUAAUUGCAGGAGACACACUAGUACUAUUAGCUAUUAGUUUUCCCACAGCUUCAGUUGCUUUUAUUAUUCUAAUCCUACUGACUAUUCUCAAAUUCGCCAUAGACCUUAUUCAGGCUUAUGUCUUCACACUACUAGUAAGCCUUUAUCUAUAUGACAA